rnacentral:tRNA from 1 species
GGCCGCCUGGCGAAAUGGCAUCGCGUCUGACUACGAUUUGCGGGUAAUCAGGAGAUUGCAGGUUCGACCCCUGCGGUGGUCA